GGUGGCGGCGGCGGCGGCACUGUGAGCGGGGAAAAUGGAAAAGUCACUGGCACACGCAUACGUCGGGUAGUCGGUGACUUCGGUUCGAAUUGCAUGUACUCGGGAACGAACGCGAACUAACGCGGAAAAAAAAAAAAAAAGACCGCCGAAAGAAUGCGGCGGCGGUACAUACACACGAUCGGACGGCGCACUGAAACGACGCACUUGCGCGGGCACUGCGAGACGACUCGUAGCGCGAGAAAAAUAACAGGUACUUCUUUCAGCCUCUGCCGGUACUGGUUUCGUUGCGGCGGCGCGCUGACGAG